UACGUAGGUGGCGAGCGUUGUCCGGAUUUACUGGGCGUAAAGGGAGCGUAGGCGGACUUUUAAGUGAGAUGUGAAAUACUCGGGCUCAACUUGAGUGCUGCAUUUCAAACUGGAAGUCUAGAGUGCAGGAGAGGAGAAUGGAAUUCCUAGUGUAGCGGUGAAAUGCGUAGAGAUUAGGAAGAACACCAGUGGCGAAGGCGAUUCCCUGGACUGUAACUGACGCUGAGGCUCGAAAGCGUGGGGAGCAAACAGG
rnacentral:rRNA from 1 species